GUCGUAUUUCAAACUCAUGUAUUAUAUCAUUCUUCCGCUAUGGGAGUCGUUCUUCCUAUAUUUUGUGUAUACUGUAUCAUGUGAUGUAUCCUUCUUUUGUGUGUUAAUCAACGCACGCAGGACGCUAAAAUACAACAUUAAGUUAGUAGGAAAUAAAAAAAAACUGUAAAUUACAUUGCUUUUCGAACAUAAUAAAUUCUUCUGACAUAGGUUUGAAUGUCAGUUAGUGUGUGCAUGUGCUGCGUUCACUGAGUGAAUUCCAGUUUGUUUAAUUUGGUUUUCAUACACAACCCACAGUUGGCAAGCUUGUGUUAUCUUGUAGGACAUUUGCCAGUUAUCACUGUGUAAACAGAUUAAUAUACAUUUUUAGGCAAAACUUUAUUUGGGUCAAAUGCUUUAUGCCUCUCCCUCCCCAGGGGACACCCCACAUCUGCAACAUGAUCACAGGCUUCUGAGCAAGGGGAGAGAGUCCAGUGUGUCAGCACUGAAGGUACUAUGAUCGGACGCUUCUCACCAUUACCACUACAUACAGUAAGCUGUAUUGUGUGUGAGGUUUGUUUGCGUAAUGUAGGUAUUCCUGCCUUACUAGACUGCUGAAUGUAAUGUCAACAGUAGUGACUAUGCAGGGAGAAUUACAGAUGGAACCCCCCUUCCAGGGGAGAUGUAAUUGCUUUAUUUGUACUCCGUGGUGAUGUCUCCAUGCUUAAAGAGUUUACUGUAACUGAAAGCAUUGAAAAGUUCUCUCAUAGAUAUUAUUGUUUGAUGACAGGAUGUCUGUAACAGUGGAGGGAUUGCUAUUUCAGCUGCUGAAGGAAGUCAUCCGUGCCAUGUGCCAUGUGAAGGAGGCUAGUGACUGGAGACAGGAAGAACAUGCAGAAAAUUCUACUCGUGUGUUAUGUACCAACUACAAGGAGUUCACGUAGAAAAGGCCUGCAACUCACCAGCACGAGACCUCAAGUGACUCAUCUGCCAUAAGAGGAAGGAGUUGUUGCUGUACAGUCAUAAUGAGCGAGUUACAGCAUUUCUCUGACAUCUAUUAUGCUGUCCUGUCAUCCAUGCAUGGCUCUUUCUCAUAGUUUUUUCUCUUGCGGCUAUGCCACCAGAAUCUCUGCAUGUCAAGACUGAAGUGAAAAUCUGGGCAUGUCAAGAUUGAAGUGAAAAUCUAUGCAUGUCAAGACUGAAGUGAAAAUCUGGGCAUGUCAGGACUGAAGUGAAAAUCUGGGCAUGUCGAGACUGAAGUAAAAAUCUGGGCAUAUCGAGACUGAAGUGAAAAUCUAU